GAGAAGCUUCGCGGCUGACCUUUAACUUCCCCACACCUCAGGGGACCUGAUGUGGAAGGUUCUUGCAAGCCUAUGCUCAGCGAGCUCUGGGAAAGGAAGGCCAGAUUUGGUCACAGUGAUCUCAGAGGACAGUGCCUGGACACGAUAUUCUGUGUUUGUGCUUGCAAUCUCAGAAACAGCACGAGAUUGUGGAGGCUUCACGAACUCUGAAACUUUGCUCACGAGUUGCAAGCAAAGCUGUGAGUUUUCCAAAGGUUAUUUGGCCAGAAGAGGAUGUCAGCACACAGAAGAAGAGACCACCACUGCUGGCCUUUCCAGUUCCAGCCGGACACCGCGGAGCACUGUUGACAACCGUGCAGGGCUCAUUCUCCUUCACAGAGAGGGGGCCGGGUGCGCCUCCCAGCCCAGGCCCCCAGGAGGCUCUGAGAGGGCAGAGGGGAGGGCCUUCUAAUAAGGCAUAAGCUGCUGGAAAGACAAACUCAAGCGCAAGCUGGGAGGAUCUCACUAGACCUACAAAAGUGGAAGGAAGCUGGCCGGGUGCCUGGCGCUGUGUGACCUACGCAACGAAAGGCAAGCUGAUCUUAGAAUGCUCAAAGAGGAGCAACUCUCCCAUGACCCUGUCCGUUUACACCAGAGAAGAGCAGAUAUGUCAUUCUGCUGCCAGGGCUGAGGAGGGGCAGUUUGCAUCAGGAGCAGACAAGUGGGUGCAACAGACUCUGAUUGCAAAAGUAGAGAAGAUCUCUCUGGAAGGAAACCUCCCAAUGUUUUCACCACGAGCUGUCAUGAAGAGAGACCUUGUGAAGCUCCACUCCAGCUUAGCUGCUUGCAAGGACAUCCCAGUUUCCAGGCACCAAAGUCUGGUAAAGCAGUCACUCAGCCUUCGGCUCCAGGCAGCCCCCUCAGGGAUGUUCUACUUGCUCUUCCACCCUUGGAGGCCGGGCUACCACUGUGUUCCGAAAACUGAUGAGCAUCCAGCGGGCAGCUCGCAGUCAGCUCCCCAGGCUGAUACUGGUUCCCUGGUUCAACCAUCUGCAAAGGAACAAAAUGAAAAUUCAUUUUCCACAUGGUGAAAUGAAUGUCAUUCUUAUUUUAGUUUGUCAUAGAAAUCUUCUCUUUACCGCAAGAACUAUUCUUCAACUUAAACUGAAAUUGGAGAAUGCAUAUGGGCUACCUAUAAGUGGUUGAAUGCAAUUUUUUUAGAAUUUUAUGUGCUAUCAAUUAAACAUGUUUUCAUAACUGAGACACAAAUGUGAACAACGUUUUUGUUUUCAUUGUCAAGAUUUUCUAAUGGUGUGAAGGAGAAGGUAGAAAUUGGAGGCAUUCAGGGAAGAAGAUCAGUUGAGAAUUGAUAUUUGAACCUCUCUCUUACUUGUUCUUCAGUAAUAUCUUUGUCCAAAUCCAUAGAACAGGCCCUGGAGCCAGAUGGUCUGAGUGUAGGUCUUGGAUCUGCUGCUUAUUUGCUGUGAAACACCACACAAGUCACUCAGCCUCUCUGGGACUGUUUUCUCCUUUGUAAAAUGGGAAUAAUAACAAUACCUACAUCAUGGGGAUGAUGUGAUAAUUAGACGUGAAAGCAUGGAAAAUGCUUAGAACAGUGACUGGGACCUGGUGAGUUAAUGAUUAUCAUCAUUAUUUUGCACUCAAGUUAGUUCCUCACCUUGGAAGAACUGACACCAAUAAUCUACGUGUUAUUUUUAAGGGAUUGGUUAUAAAUGUUGAGUGCUCCCAAUCUUGACUCAAAUUAGAGUCUUCAAACCUUAUCCUCAUCUUUGGCAAGAAAGUGAGGUCAGCACUCAGGGAUCCCCAAAUAAUCUCUCUCCUCUAGUUACACAGCAUUGUGGGACUCUUUUUU
rnacentral:lncRNA from 1 species